UUAACUCAAAUUUGUAUGGAGUUGGAAAGUUUGCCUAGGUUUGCCGCUAGGGGCGCUGUUCCAACUUCAUACAAAUUUGAGUUA
rfam:Bombyx mori DNA, contig: Bm_scaf82_contig33135, strain: p50T/Dazao, build 2, whole genome shotgun sequence.